rnacentral:rRNA from 1 species
AUUGAACGCUGGCGGCAGGCCUAACACAUGCAAGUCGAGCGAGUGGCGGACGGGUGAGUAAUGUCUGGGAAACUGCGCGAGGGAGGGGGAUAACUACUGGAAACGGUAGCUAAUACCGCAUACCAUCGGAUGUGCCCAGAUGUGAUUAGCUUGUAGGUGAGGUAACGGCUCACCGAGGCGACGAUCCCUAGCUGGUCUGAGAGGAUGACCAGUCACACUGGAACUGAGACACGGGCAAGACUCCUAAGGGAGGCAGCAGUGGGGAAUAUUGCACAAUGGGCGAAAGCCUGAUGCAGCCAUGCCGCGUGGAUGAAGAAGGACUUCGGAUUGUAAAGUACUUUAAGCGGGGAGGCGUUACCCACAGAAGAAGCACCGGCUAACUCCGUGCCAGUAGCCGCGGUAAUAC